AGUGAACGCUGGCGGUAGGCCUAACACAUGCAAGUCGAACGGCAGCACAGUAAGAGCUUGCUCUUACGGGUGGCGAGUGGCGGACGGGUGAGGAAUACAUCGGAAUCUACUUUUUCGUGGGGGAUAACGUAGGGAAACUUACGCUAAUACCGCAUACGACCUCCGGGUGAAAGCAUGGGAUCUUCGGACCUUGCGCGAUUGAAUGAGCCGAUGUCGGGUUAGCUAGUUGGCGGGGUAAAGGCCCACCAAGGCGACGAUCCGUAGCUGGUCUGAGAGGAUGAUCAGCCACACUGGAACUGAGACACGGUCCAGACUCCUACGGGAGGCAGCAGUGGGGAAUAUUGGACAAUGGGCGCAAGCCUGAUCCAGCCAUACCGCGUGGGUGAAGAAGGCCUUCGGGUUGUAAAGCCCUUUUGUUGGGAAAGAAAAGCAGCAGGUUAAUACCCCGCUGUUCUGACGGUACCCAAAGAAUAAGCACCGGCUAACUUCGUG
rnacentral:rRNA from 1 species